UGGGGAAUAUUGCACAAUGGGGGAAACCCUGAUGCAGCGACGCCGCGUGAACGAAGAAGGUAUUCGUAUCGUAAAGUUCCGUCCUAUGGGAAGAUAAUGACAGUACCAUAGAAGAAAGCUCCGGCUAAAUACGUGCCAGCAGCCGCGGUAAUACGUAUGGAGCGAGCGUUGUCCGGAAUUAUUGGGCGUAAAGGGUACGCAGGCGGUUUAAUAAGUCGAAUGUUAAAGAUCGGGGCUCAACCCCGUAAAGCAUUGGAAACUGAUAAACUUGAGUAGUGGAGAGGAAAGUGGAAUUCCUAGUGUAGUGGUGAAAUACGUAGAUAUUAGGAGGAAUACCAGUAGCGAAGGCGACUUUCUGGACACAAACUGACGCUGAGGUACGAAAGCGUGGGGAGCAAACAGG
rnacentral:rRNA from 1 species